rnacentral:rRNA from 1 species
AGUGGACGAAAGUCUGAUGAUGCGACGCCGCGUGCAGGAUGAAGGCCUUCGGGUUGUAAACUGCUUUUGUUAGGAAAGAACCUAUACGGUUAAUACCCGUAUAGCUGACGGUACCUAAAGAAUAAGCCACGGCCAACUCCGUGCCAGCAGCCGCGGUAAUACGGAGGUGGCGAGCGUUACUCGGAAUUAUUGGGUGUAAAGGGCAAGUAGGCGGUCUAAUAAGCGAGGGGUGAAAUCUACCGACUCAAUCGGUAAACUGCCUUUCGAACUGUUAGACUUGAGGCCAAAAGAGGGAAAUGGAAUUAGCAGUGUAAGGGUGAAAUCUGUAGAUAUUGCUAAGAACACCAGCGGCGAAGGCGAUUUCCUGGUUUGGGUCUGACGCUAAAUUGCGAAAGUUAGGGUAGCAAACAGAAUU